rnacentral:rRNA from 1 species
CCUACGGGAGACAGCAGUGAGGAAUAUUGGUCAAUGGACGAGAGUCUGAACCAGCCAAGUAGCGUGAAGGAUGACUGCCCUAUGGGUUGUAAACUUCUUUUAUAUGGGAAUAAAAUGUUCCACGUGUGGGAUUUUGUAUGUACCAUAUGAAUAAGGCUCGGCUAACUCCGUGCCAGCAGCCGCGGUAAUACGGAGGAUCCGAGCGUUAUCCGGAUUUAUUGGGGUUAAAGGGGGCGUAGGUGGAUUGUUAAGUCAGUUGUGAAAGUUUGCGGCUCAACCGUAAAAUUGCAGUUGAAACUGGCAGUCUUGAGUACAGUAGAGGUGGGCGGAAUGCGUGGUGUAGCGGUGAAAUGCUUAGAUAUCACGAAGAACUCCGAUUGCGAAGGCAGUUCACUGGACUGCAACUGACACUGAGGCUCGAAAGUGUGGGUAUCAAACAGGAUUAGAUACCCGAGUAGUC